ensembl:lncRNA
UGAUGUGAUUUCCUGUCCAUUUAAUGGGUACUACUUGAUGAUUUCAACUUUAGACUUGCUGAAAAGGAAGUAAGAUUUCUUCUACAUGCUUCUUUGCGAGGUAAAAUUCUGAUUUGGGACACACAUAGAGUUGUGUAGGUGGGUUAUAUUGAAGCACGGUGGUGGUAGUGUCGGGUCUUUGUGCUGCAGUGGUGUAAGUGAUGUAGGAGUGUGUAGGUGGUUAAUAUUGAAGCACGGUGGUGGUAGUGUCGGGUCUGUGCUGCAGUGGUGUAAGUGAUGUAGGAGUUGUGUGGUUAAUAUUGAAGCACGGUGGUGGUAGUGUCGGCUCUGUGCUGCAGUGGUGUAAGUGAUGUAGGAGUGUGUAGGUGGUUAAUAUUGAAGCACGGUGGUGGUAGUGUCGGGUCUGUGCUGCAGUGGUGUAAGUGAUGGAGUGGUAAGUGGUUAAUAUUGAAGCACGGUGGUGGUAGUGUCGGGUUUGUGCUGCAGUGGUGUAAGUGAUGGAGUGUGUAGGUGGUUAAUAUUGAAGCACGGUGGCUGCAGUGU